rnacentral:rRNA from 1 species
AGUGAACGCUGGCGGUAGGCCUAACACAUGCAAGUCGAACGGCAGCACAGGAGAGCUUGCUCUCUGGGUGGCGAGUGGCGGACGGGUGAGGAAUACAUCGGAAUCUACUCUGUCGUGGGGGAUAACGUAGGGAAACUUACGCUAAUACCGCAUACGACCUACGGGUGAAAGCAGGGGACCUUCGGGCCUUGCGCGAUUGAAUGAGCCGAUGUCGGAUUAGCUAGUUGGCGGGGUAAAGGCCCACCAAGGCGACGAUCCGCAGCUGGUCUGAGAGGAUGAUCAGCCGCACUGGAACUGAGACACGGUCCAGACUCCUACGGGAGGCAGCAGUGGGGAAUAUUGGACAAUGGGCGCAAGCCUGAUCCAGCCAUACCGCGUGGGUGAAGAAGGCCUUCGGGUUGUAAAGCCCUUUUGUUGGGAAAGAAAUCCAGCUGGCUAAUACCCGGUUGGGAUGACGGUACCCAAAGAAUAAGCACCGGCUAACUUCGUGCCAGCCGCCGCGGUAA